rnacentral:tRNA from 1 species
AUUUAUAUAGUAUAAUAAUUAUAAUUGAUUUCCAAUCAAAAGAUCUAGUUCUAGUAUAAAUA